CCGGAACCGCAGCCUCUGACACCAGCACAGCAAAUCCGCCAGGAUCAAAGUGUACCAGUCGGCAGCAUGGCUACGAAAUGUGGAAAUUGUGGACCCGGCUACUCCACGCCUCUGGAGGCCAUGAAAGGACCCAGGGAAGAGAUCGUCUACCUGCCCUGCAUUUACCGAAACACGGGCACUGAGGCCCCAGAUUAUCUGGCCACUGUGGAUGUUGACCCCAAGUCUCCCCAGUAUUGCCAGGUAAGGCGGGGCUUGGGCACCAGCUACUUUGAGACCGUAGCUGCCCUCAUCCCUGGCCCUGGGGCCCCCCUUCCCAGCUCCAUCCUUCUUGGCCCUCCCUGGUUACGGUUGUGCAGGCUCAACCUGGGACAAGGGGAGUGCUAAAAUCCAGCCUGUGCCGUGCUUCCAAACCAAAAUGGGUCCACAGGGGCGCCUCUUCCAAAAGUGGACAGAGGCAUGGCCUGGGAGAGCACCACCUCUCCCCGCAUCCUAGGUCAUCCACCGGCUGCCCAUGCCCAACCUGAAGGACGAGCUGCAUCACUCAGGAUGGAACACCUGCAGCAGCUGCUUCGGUGAUAGCACCAAGUCGCGCACCAAGCUGGUGCUGCCCAGUCUCAUCUCCUCUCGCAUCUAUGUGGUGGAUGUGGGCUCUGAGCCCCGGGCCCCAAAGCUGCACAAGGUCAUUGAGCCCAAGGACAUCCAUGCCAAGUGCGAACUGGCCUUUCUCCACACCAGCCACUGCCUGGCCAGCGGGGAGGUGAUGAUCAGCUCCCUGGGAGACGUCAAGGGCAAUGGCAAAGAUGGCGUCUCACUCUGUUGCCCAGGCUGGAGUGCAGUGGCACGAUCUCAGCUCACUCCAACCUCCGCCUCACUGGUUCAAGAGAUUCUCCUGCCUCAGCCUCCCGAGUAGCUGGGAUUACAGGCAUGUGACAC
rnacentral:sRNA from 1 species